UGGGGAAUUGUUCGCAAUGGGCGCAAGCCUGACGACGCAACGCCGCGUGGAGGAUGAAGACCUUCGGGUCGUAAACUCCUUUCGACCGAGAUGAAUUCCUGCCGGCCUAAUACGCCGGCGGGUUGACAGUAUCGAGGGAAGCAGCCCCGGCUAACUCCGUGCCAGCAGCCGCGGUAAUACGGGGGGGGCAAGCGUUGUUCGGAAUUACUGGGCGUAAAGGGUUCGUAGGUGGCUAGCUAAGUCAGACGUGAAAUCCCUCAGCUUAACUGGGGAACUGCGUCUGAGACUGGCGAGCUUGAGUGCAGGAGAGGAACGCGGAAUUCCAGGUGUAGCGGUGAAAUGCGUAGAUAUCUGGAGGAACACCGGUGGCGAAGGCGGCGUUCUGGACUGCAACUGACACUGAGGAACGAAAGCCAGGGGAGCAAACGGGAUUAGAUACCCCCGUAGUCC
rnacentral:rRNA from 1 species